rnacentral:rRNA from 1 species
UCGGGAAUUUUGGGCAAUGGGGGAAACCCUGACCCAGCAACGCCGCGUGAAGGAUGAAGUAUUUCGGUAUGUAAACUUCGAAAGAAUGGGAAGAAUAAAUGACGGUACCAUUUAUAAGCUCCGGCUAACUACGUGCCAGCAGCCGCGGUAAUACGUAGGGAGCAAGCGUUGUUCGGAUUUACUGGGCGUAAAGGGCGCGUAGGCGGCGUGUCAAGUCGAUUGUGAAAUCUCCGGGCUUAACUCGGAACUGCCAAUCGAUACUGACGUGCUAGAGUGCAGAAAGGGCAAUCGGAAUUCUUGGUGUAGCGGUGAAAUGCGUAGAUAUCAAGAGGAACACCUGAGGCGAAGGCGGGUUGCUAGGCUGACACUGACGCUGAGUGCGCGAAAGCCAGGGGAGCAAACGGG